rnacentral:rRNA from 1 species
AGCACCGGCUACUCCGUGCCAGCAGCCGCGGUAAUACGGAGGGUGCGAGCGUUAAUCGGAAUUACUGGGCGUAAAGAGUGCGUAGGUGGUUUAAUAAGUUAUGUGUGAAAUCCCUGGGCUUAACCUGGGAGGGUCAGAUAAUACUGCUCAACUCGAGUAUGGGAGAGGGUAGUGGAAUUUCCGGUGUAGCGGUGAAAUGCGUAGAGAUCGGAAGGAACACCAGUGGCGAAGGCGGCUACCUGGCUCGAUACUGACACUGAGGCACGAAAGCGUGGGGAGCAAACAGGAUUAGAUACCCUGGUAGUCCACGCUGUAAACGAUGUCA